GACGAACCGUCCUAACGUUGUUCGGAAUCACUGGGCUUAAAGGGCGCGUAGGCGGGCGAGCAAGUCUAGGGUGAAAUCUUUCGGCUUAACCGGAAAAUAGCCUUGGAUACUGCUGGUCUCGAGGGAGGUAGGGGUCGUUGGAACUUCCGGUGGAGCGGUGAAAUGCGUUGAUAUCGGAAGGAACAUCAGUGGCGAAAGCGACUUCCUGGACCAGUACCGACGUUCAGGCACGAAAGCGUGGGGAGCAAACAGG
rnacentral:rRNA from 1 species